AUGAAUGAUAAUUCUGUAAAUUGGCGCUUUACGAGUUUCUAUGGUUAUCCGGCAUGGAAUGAAAAAUAUUUAUCUUGGGCAGAUCUUCGCCAACUGCAUUCCCUUGCUGAUUAUCCUUGGGUAGUCAUUGGAGAUUUUAAUGAAAUUAUCUACUCUAGCGAAAAAGAAGGUGGCAAUGCUAGACCAAAUGAAAUGAUGCAGGAAUUCCGUAAGUGUUUGAGUGAUUGUAACCUGGAGGAUAUGGGCUCUGUUGGUGAUCCAUUCACUUGGAGAAGGGGGGACAUCCGUGAAAGGCUUGAUCGAGCUGUAUGUAAUAUAGAAUGGGCAAACAAAUUUCCGCGUGCGGCGAUUAUUAAUGGGGAGCAUGUACACUCAGACCAUUGUCCGUUAAUUCUUGACACAUAUUAUUUUGAUAGUAACUUGUUUAAUCGUCGGAAUGGUCGUGUGAGACAAUUUGAAGCAAAAUGGCUGAAAGAAGAUACUGUUGAGGAGAUUGUAAAGACUGCUUGGGAAAAAGCAAAGUUGGCGGGUAUUGGUCCCUCUCUCGCAGCACGGACUAGAGCGGUGCAUGAUGAUUUACAUUCUUGGGACCGAAUUACUUUGAAAGGACCACAGAGAAGAAUAAAUAAGUUAAAAAAAGAACUAGAGAGGCUGAAACGUGGUCCUAUUAGUGGUGAGUCCCGCUCAAGGCAAAAGGAAAUUCUAGUACUCAUUGAAAAUCUUUUGGACCAAGAGGAAAUUUUUUGGUUACAGAGAGGUCGAGCGAACUGGUUGCUACAUGGGGACCGUAAUACUUCUUUUUUUCAUAACGCUGCAACGGCCAGGAAAAAAAGGAAAAUAUUAGAAGACUUCUGGAUGAUACUGGGGUUUGGAAACAAGGAAAUUAUAUGA
rnacentral:rRNA from 1 species